AAAAAGACAAACACUGGAUUUCCGUGUCAAACGUUUGACUGUCCGUCUUAUAUGAUUUUUUUUUAUAAUUAGUAUUUUCAUUGUUAUUAGAUGAUAAAACAUGAUUAAUACUUUAUGCAUGACUUGUCUUUUAAUUUUUUUUAAAUACGGACGGUCAAAUGUUGGACACGGAAAUCAGGGUUUGUCUUUUU
rfam:Oryza sativa (indica cultivar-group) chromosome 10, whole genome shotgun sequence.